rnacentral:sRNA from 1 species
GAAAGGGGAGUAGCGUCGGGAAACCGAAACAAAGUCGACAUACUGUGAGGAAACUCACCGGCUUUGUUGACAUACGAAAGUAUGUUUAGCAAGACCUUUCC